UGGGGAAUAUUGCACAAUGGGCGAAAGCCUGAUGCAGCGACGCCGCGUGGGGGAUGACGGCCUUCGGGUUGUAAACCCCUUUUGACAGGGACGAAGCGCAAGUGACGGUACCUGUAGAAGAAGCACCGGCCAACUACGUGCCAGCAGCCGCGGUAAUACGUAGGGUGCGAGCGUUGUCCGGAAUUACUGGGCGUAAAGAGCUUGUAGGCGGUCUGUCACGUCUUCUGUGAAAACUUGGGGCUCAACCUUAAGCUUGCAGGGGAUACGGGCAGACUAGAGUACUUCAGGGGAGACUGGAAUUCCUGGUGUAGCGGUGAAAUGCGCAGAUAUCAGGAGGAACACCGGUGGCGAAGGCGGGUCUCUGGGAAGUAACUGACGCUGAGAAGCGAAAGCAUGGGUAGCAAACAGG
rnacentral:rRNA from 1 species